CUAUCUUCUCGACCUCCCGCCUACAAAAGUAUCCGGUCGGGUGAUAGCUCUUUUUGAAUAUACAGUCUGGAAACUUGUCUAAAAAGGUAAAAAAAGGUAUACGGCGGGCUAAACGCGCAAAAGUCGUUCCCUCGAAAUAAAAAUUGAAAAAGUAUGUGAUUACAAUUAUUACGUUCGUUAAAUGUCGGUUAAAAUUAGUCACUAUAUGUGUCAAAAGGUAUUGAAUAUUUGAUCAAGAAUGGGACAAAAACGUGGAGCCAACUUUUCACCGUCGGGCGUUUUCUUUCUUUUUGUUGAUAAAAACCCCUUCGUAGUUAUUUGCCGAAAUCUAAAACAAGGUGGCGUUUUAAAGAUUAAUAGUUUCCCGCUUCUGACGAACCGUUGAUCCGCAAUAAUAUCGCGUUGUUUUCGGCACCAAUUUGCGGCAAAACGGAUCGGAUGGCUAGAAAACGCGUAUUAUUUAAUUCGUAUUUUUUUUUCCUUUGUAAAUUCUAUCGGAUACAGUAAAGUUACGAGUGUAACAAUAAAAAAAAUAAAACGGAGAAAUGUAAACGGUUUACACGACUGUACUAUAAUCUAAUAUAUAAGUACGCUAUAAUCAACGAAUCUCAAUUAUUUAUUUGCAAUAGGCUCCUUUCUAUUUCUAAACUCAUAAUUUUACGAGUGUUCACGGUUUUAUUUUUUUCGCACUGUUAAAUAACGUCCUCCGAUGUUGAUUAGGCAUUAUGUAAAAACGAUAAAACGAUAAUAUUCAUCCGCUCGUUUAUAUUUAGAUGGCGGAUUUCGUCAUGAAUUUCGAUUUUGUAAUCGUAGUACACAUCUUUAUAACAAGACACAAAUUGUAUUAUAGGUGUAGUACGUACAUUAUCGUUACAACGUGGUAAAUUGCGUUAAAAACGGAUUACGUGCGUAUAUACAAUAAUAAUAAUUCACGCGCGUUAAGUUUGCAAUCGAUGUGCGUUUAUAUUAUAUACGAGUAUAUACUGAAAAUCGAGGAAAACAAACGCGCGUCACCGAUUGUAGAAUUUUUCGGAAAACAAAUUUCGCGCGGUUAAAACUGCAGUACC